GGAAUGGGUCAACGAGAAUCCAGAUCUUUGUCUCAGUUUGUACUAUGGUACUAACUACAUGGUCAAUAUAAUUACUUUUGUUGCUAGAAACUCUGAAGAUUUUGGUUGCUUAUUACUAGCUCUACAAACUUCACAUAGAAAAUUGAAAGAAGAUUCUUAUUAUGAAACAAAACAAAGGUGGCUGAGUAGAGAAUUUUCUAAAAUUCAGACAUUACACAGAAGCUUGUUAACUAGCCACAAAGAGGGAAA
rnacentral:sRNA from 1 species